rnacentral:rRNA from 1 species
UAUCUCUGUAGAGUCUGCAUAUCAAUAAGCGGAGGAAAAGAAACUAACAAGGAUUCCCUUAGUAACGGCGAGUGAAGCGGGAAGAGCUCAAAUUUGAAAUCUUCAAGGUUUACCUUGACGAAUUGUAGUUUAAAGAAGUGUUUUCUGUUGGAGUUUCGGUAAAAGUUCUUUGGAAUAGGACAUCAUAGAGGGUGAGAAUCCCGUAUUUGACCGUUAUUUUCAGCUGUGUGAUACACUUUCAAAGAGUCGGAUUGUUUGGGAAUGCAGUCCAAAAUGGGUGGUAAAUUUCAUCUAAAGCUAAAUACUGGCGAGAGACCGAUAGCGAACAAGUACCGUGAGGGAAAGAUGAAAAGAACUUUGAAAAGAGAGUUAAACAGUACGUGAAAUUGUCAAAAGGGAAGCGUUUGACACCAGUGUUGUUUUCUCGAAAAUCAAUUAAAAAAAGUUGGAUUUUGUAUUGUUAAGACCUUAUCCGCUUACUGUACUCUUUUCUUGCUUUUUUUAAUGCACUUUUCGUUUAACAAGUCAACAUCAAUUUCUUUUGUUGUAAAAGAGUCAUUGGAAGGUGGCUUUCACUUCGGUGAAAGUGUUUAUAGCCUUUGGCUUCUGCAAUCGGAGAGAUUGAGGUCUGCAGCGUAGAUCCUUCGGGGCUAGAUACGUAGAUGCUAAGUUAUAGUUUUUUAUAGACAACUUGUUGACUAUAAUUAAUCAUGUAGCUUACUCGUUUGCGCUAUUUUACCUACGCUUAGGAUGUUGAAGAUGUAGCACAUCAU